AGAGUUUGAUCCUGGCUCAGGAUGAACGCUAGCGGCAGGCUUAAUACAUGCAAGUCGUGGGGCAGCAUGAGUAGCAAUACUUGAUGGCGACCGGCAAACGGGUGCGGAACACGUACACAACCUUCCGAUAAGUGGGGAAUAGCCCAGAGAAAUUUGGAUUAAUACCCCGUAACAUAUAGAGUAGGCAUCUUCUUUAUAUUAUAGCUUCGGCGCUUAUUGAUGGGUGUGCGUCUGAUUAGGUAGUUGGCGGGGUAACGGCCCACCAAGCCUACGAUCAGUAGCUGAUGUGAGAGCAUGAUCAGCCACACGGGCACUGAGACACGGGCCCGACUCCUACGGGAGGCAGCAGUAAGGAAUAUUGGACAAUGGGCGAAAGCCUGAUCCAGCCAUGCCGCGUGAAGGAUUAAGGUCCUCUGGAUUGUAAACUUCUUUUAUUUGGGACGAAAAAAGGGAAUUCUUUCCCACUUGACGGUACCAAGUGAAUAAGCACCGGCUAACUCCGUGCCAGCAGCCGCGGUAAUACGGAGGGUGCAAGCGUUAUCCGGAUUCACUGGGUUUAAAGGGUGCGUAGGCGGGUAUGUAAGUCAGUGGUGAAAUCUCGGAGCUUAACUCCGAAACUGCCAUUGAUACUAUAUAUCUUGAAUAUUGUGGAGGUUUGCGGAAUAUGUCAUGUAGCGGUGAAAUGCUUAGAUAUGACAUAGAACACCUAUUGCGAAGGCAGCAGGCUACACAUAUAUUGACGCUGAGGCACGAAAGCGUGGGGAUCAAACAGGAUUAGAUACCCUGGUAGUCCACGCCCUAAACGAU
rnacentral:rRNA from 1 species